CGAUCCGUAGUGCAGUGGUAGCACGUGGUUGUGCCUGAUGAGAGGGCGCGGGUUCGAUCCCCCCUCGGUCUC
rnacentral:tRNA from 1 species